rnacentral:rRNA from 1 species
GUCUACGGCCAUGCCAUCCUGAACAAGCCUGAUCCUGUCUGAUCUCGGAAGCCAAGCAGGGUCGGGCCUGGUUAGUACUUGGAUAGGAGACCACCUAGGAAGACCAGGUGCUGUAGGCG